rnacentral:rRNA from 1 species
GACGAACGCUGGCGGCGUGCUUAACACAUGCAAGUCGAACGAAGUGGCGAACGGGUGAGUAACGCGUAAUCAACCUGCCCUGCAGAGGGGGACAACAGUAGGAAACGACUGCUAAUACCGCAUACUGUAGGAGGGGAUUGCGUCUGAUUAGCUAGUUGGCGGGGUAACGGCCCACCAAGGCGAAGAUCAGUAGCCGGUCUGAGAGGGUGAACGGCCACAAUGGGACUGAGGCACGGCCCAGACGCCUACGGGAGGCAGCAGUGGGGAAUCUUCCGCAAUGGAAGAAAGUCUGACGGGGCAACGCCGCGGGAGUGAUGGCGGCCUUCGGGUUGUAAAGCUCUGUUAAUCGGGACGCGGUACCGAAAUAGAAAGCCACGGCUAACUACGUGCCAGCCGCCGCGGUAAUUC